UGGCUCAGAAUCAACGCUGGCGGCGUGCCUAACACAUGCAAGUCGAACGCGAAAGCCCGCAAGGGUAAGUAGAGUGGCAAACGGGUGAGUAACACGUGGGUGACCUGCCUUAGAGUGGGGGAUAACGUCCCGAAAGGGACGCUAAUACCGCAUAACAUCCUGCCUUUGAAGAGGUGGAGAUCAAAGCCGGGGACCGCAAGGCCUGGCGCUUAAAGAGGGGCCCGCGCCUGAUUAGCUAGUUGGUGAGGUAAUGGCUCACCAAGGCAACGAUCAGUAUCCGGCCUGAGAGGGCGGACGGACACACUGGGACUGAGACACGGCCCAGACUCCUACGGGAGGCAGCAGUGGGG
rnacentral:rRNA from 1 species